rnacentral:rRNA from 1 species
GACGAACGCUGGCGGCGUGCUUAACACAUGCAAGUCGAACGAUGACGACCGAGCUUGCUCGGUCUGAUUAGUGGCGAACGGGUGAGUAACACGUGAGCAACCUGCCCUUCACUCUGGGAUAACCUCGGGAAAUCGGGGCUAAUACCGGAUAUGAGCUCCUGUCGCAUGGCGGGUGUUGGAAAGUUUUUCGGUGAAGGAUGGGCACGCGGCCUAUCAGUUUGUUGGUGAGGUAGUGGCUCACCAAGGCGAUGACGGGUAGCCGGCCUGAGAGGGCGACCGGCCACACUGGGACUGAGACACGGCCCAGACUCCUACGGGAGGCAGCAGUGGGGAAUAUUGCACAAUGGGCGAAAGCCUGAUGCAGCGACGCCGCGUGAGGGAUGACGGCCUUCGGGUUGUAAACCUCUUUCAGCAGGGAAGAAGCGAAAGUGACGGUACCUGCAGAAGAAGCGCCGGCUAACUACGUG